AUUUUAAUGUGAAGGAGAAAAUUAACUUCUAUCUUCAUAGCUUCUGUUACUAGGGGAUUUUGAUGCUCAAACAUACUCCUAUCAAAUAUAUAGGGUGCAAUGAUGUUGACCAUCCAAAGUACAGCAAACAAGAUAAAUAGAUAAGGAAUGAGAAAGGGUGACUUGGGAUUUCUCCAGGCUUUGCCAGCUAAAGAAGGAGAAGUCAUGGCCAUAGAAAACAAAACAAGAACAAACAAAACCCUCAAGAAGGUGUAAACAAAGAGAUGCAAAAGAGGUAUAAGGUUCAAACACAACAGCCUUUUCCAUUGUAAAACCUCUGUUCGUUGUUUUUCCCUGGAAUCUUUGAAGGAGUCAAAUUUUAAUUUUAAAAGUUAAAAUCUUAUAAGUUUUCCCUGGGGGGGGAAAGGACCCCAAAAUCUCAGUGGUUUAAAAUAACAAAAGGCUUAUUUCUCACUCAUUGUACAUGUUCAAUACAGGUCAGCAGGGAGCACUGCUCGUUUCAAUAAUUCAGGGAUCCAUGCUGAGAGAAGCUCACCCUAAUGUAUGCCUUUCUGUCCAUGACAGCAGGAAAAAGAGAGUAUGGUGAAUCAUACACUGACUUUUAAAAAUGGUGCUCAGCAUAGCACACUAUUCACAGUAGCCAGGAAGCAGAAGCAACCCAAAUGUCCAUAGGCAGAUGAACAAACAAACGAAAUGUAGAAUAUACCCACACAAUGGAAUACUAUUCAGCCUUAAAAAGGAAGAAAGUCCUGCCACAUGCUUUAACAUGGAUGAACCUUGAGGAGUAUGCUAAGUAAAACAGACAGUCCAGAACAACAAACACUGCAUGACUGAUUCCACUUAUAGAGGUACCUAUAGUGGUGAAAUUUACACAAAGUACAAUGGUGGUCAUGGAUAGAGAGGGGAGGAGAGGAAGUAGAAAUAGAAAUUGUUUAAUGGGUACAGAGUUGCAUUUUACAAAAUGAAAAUGUUCAGAAAUCUGUUUCAUAAGCACAUUCAUGUGAAUAUGCUGAACACUAUGGAAUAGUACACUUAAAAGUGGUUAAGAUGACAAAUUUUAUGUUAUAUGGUUUUGACCACAGUAAAAAAAAAAAAAAAAAGGUGCUCAGGAAAGACAAAUGUUACUUAUAUUCACAUUUAAUUAGCUAAAGGAAGUUACAUAGCUAUGCCUAACUUUAAAAGUGGGAGGAGGAGAAGGACAGUGUCAUUAGAAGUAAAGCUGACACACUGGAUGAACAGUGCUGAUUACUAUCAAAGUCUUUUCCUCUAGGUAUGAAAUAUUUCUUUCAUCCUCCUUCCUGCAAACAAAAUGCAUUUACUCAAUCCCUUUCCAGGGAAGAGAACUCAAAAGUCCUAGUGAUUACAUGAAGAUCAAAGCCCAGGAAUUCUGAUGCAUGGCAGUCUUCAUGUCAGGGAAUACUAUCCUCUACAACAGGUCCAUGUGCAUCUCCUCUUGAUCCAGAGACCUGCCCCUCCCUGUAGUGGAGCAUGAUCAGGACAACUUUAAUACAUGCUUUAAUAAAGUCAUCCUUGUAAAAAACAAUAGGAAGAAUGGGAAACACAGGGCAGUCACUGGCCUAUUACGAUGUUGAUAUUAGACUGAGCAGAAGUUUUAGGCCUCCUACACUAAAGGUGAGGAAUUUCCCUGAAGAAGCUUCAUGCAAGUUUCCUAGGCAAGUCUCCCCUGUGUAUUUAUCUCCAUGGUCCUUGGAUUUUCCCUUUGGGAGGCUCUUCCUUUUCCAUUAUUCUUCUUGACCUUAUCUGAAGUAGACAGUGAAGAAUAUUUUAACCUUAGAGAGUGAGCAGUUUUCUCAUCAUACUUCUUGUCCAUCCAAGGUAGGGAAUAAUUUUAAGUCUUAACCAGCCAUGAUGGCAUUUAAUCCAGGUGGGUGCCUCUUUUAGCAGUGAAACCAUCUUCCAAACUCAAAUUUGUAUGACUUCUUACCUACUCCCAUGUUUUCUUUCUAAACAUAUGAUUUUGUCAUAUUUCUGUGCUCUCUUGCCCUAACACCUAUCUCACUCCUCCUCUCCCUCUCUGUCUCCAUCUCUGUCUCUGCCUCAGUUUCUACCUCUCUUUCUCUCUUUCCCUCCCUUCCUCCUUCCUUCCUUUCCUAACUACAGGUUCCGAGCCUAGUAGUGAGAACACCUUUCUCCCUGAACCAUUUUAUGUUAUUUUGAGCCAUUUGGUCCAGAAAGGAAUUUCAGGCCAGCACACCCUAAACCAUGCUCAGUGAUUUGAUUCUUGCUACAAAGCUGAGCUUUAAUAGUCCCUUGUGGCUCAAAGUAUCAAUUUUAUCUUUUACUGUUUGGGUUGAGAAGCAGUUACAUUUGAAUCUCUGAAUUUGUAGACCCUCUAGUCUGUUCUAUUUAUCUUUACAGACUGACCAAUUCUUCUCCAAACAUAUCUCUUUUCUCUUUCUUGUAAUAUUGUGCCAAAUGUAGCUAAUAGCAGCCAAUUAAAUGAUAAUGUUUUCAACCUCUUCCCUAAAGUUAGGUAUGCCUUUUGCCUUACAAUUUACUGCAGGCAUCACUUUUCCCAAAUGUUUCACCAUCAGAAAAUCCAUUCCUCCAGUCUUCAGCAAUAGUUUCUUUGAUUCCCUUAAGCCAGUGUCACACAUUUUAGGGUUUAUUAUUAAAACAGCACCCUAAGUUCUUAGGUUCUAAGUUCUAUGUCAUUUUGGAAUAAGAUAGAUAAUCUUGUUGUAACAAAUUUCCCCCUAAAUAUCCACAGUUUAAAUAAAAGUUUUAUUUUCACUUGUGUCCCAUAUCCAUUGGAGGGGACUUCAAAGGGCUCCACUCACAGUGGUCACUCAGGGUCACAGACGGUUCUCAUCUCAAUAUCCGCCUCUAUAAUCAUAGAUUCAUAUGGAAAAAGGGGCUCUCUGUAAAGCUGGAAAUAUUUUGUAAACAACACUAAUAGAAGCUUGGUAGCUCUAUGUUCAGAGGCACAGAACAGAACCUACAUAUCUAAUUUAAGGAGGAAGAGAUAUAUUCAAGGAGUCAGUGGCUUAUGGACAGCUGGAAGACUAAAGAAACAGACUCCAUGUUUAACUUUUAGCAAAUUCCCAAAGUCACACCCCAGAACCAGGUCAUCAAAGGAGCUCGGCUUCUUCUGAAGUCAGGGCUCCACUAGCGGCAAGACUCCAUGAGAAUUAAAGUACUUUCUCAAUCAGGAAGCCACCAUUGCUCCCAGUUGCAGACCACACCACAUCCACUACAGUCUAUGUCUACAGAGUGGAUGCAGGGAGUCCUGCCUAUCAAAACCCACAAAGCCAGUGCCUGGGAUCUCUGCUGAUACUGUUGCGGGAAAAUAGAAAGCAGCAGACACAGCAGACGUAGCCUAGCGUGGCCGCCUCCUAAUCUCCACUUCCCAAAUCUCAUGCUAGUACAUCUAAGUGGCCAAAUCCAAAUCACACCCAGAACCUGAGCUCCCGUGAGCUCUGGGAUGUGGUUUUUAGAUUCCAGCAUCUACAGUACAGGGAGGCGUACUACAACAAAUAUGGAGUUGAGCUACAAGCCAACAUAUCCAUCCCUUAAUACAUGGCAGUAGGCCAUAGUAUAGGGCAGCACAUUCUGCAGCAACAAUAAGACUUGUUUAUAACAUUUAUCUCUGCCUAUUUUAAAGUAGUUUUGAGAGGUUUACACUAAAUGUUCAUAAUAAGGCCCUUAGGGAUUCAGGAGAAGUUAAAAUUUUUUUGUGUUCUAUUUUAUAAUCUAUGGGGGAAUAUAAUAUACUUUCUUCAGACAAAAUAUGUUAAGUACAAUGCUGCAGGCAUAUGAGCAUUCCUAUAGUUUAUUAUCUCCAAUUUUCACACCAAUUCCAUGAGGCAGUGUAUUAGUUAGGGAUGAUAUUCAGCUGCAUGUCACAGGCACCCACCUUCCAUGGCUAGAUCAAACAUGGUGCUUAUUUUCCAUGCAUAAGAAGUAAUGGAGUGGUACAAUCCAGGGUCACUACAGAGACCCACAUACCUGUCAUUCUCUUUCAUCCUUGAGUUGGGCCUCUCAUUCUCCUGAAUAUAAGAUAAAUGCUCUACUUCUAGAUAUUAUUAUCAACUUCCAGGAUGGGAGAAGGGGAAGAACAAAGGCAGAAUAAGCCAUGGGGCUCAGUCUGCCCCUGCUCUGUUAUAGGUGGUAUGGCCCCUACUAACUUGUGACUUCUGCACACAUCUCACUCACCAAAACAGUGUCACUUGGCAACCUCUCUCUGCUGGGGUAGUG
rnacentral:lncRNA from 1 species